rnacentral:lncRNA from 10 species
CGGAGACUUCCCGUUACGCGUGUCAGACAGGAUCAUGUGGAGAUGGUCUCCAGGGAAUCACAGAGGAGCAAAAGUGACAGCAAGCUGCAAUGUGCAAGCAUUUUUCAAGACUCUGCUUGUGUCACAUUUGCUAAUAUCCUGUUGCCAUCCAAAAUUAUGUGGCCAAGCCCAGCAUCAAAAGAGAAGACCCUGCAAAGUUGCAGAGCACAGGGAAAGGAAAAGAAUGUAGGCUGUCAAUAAAAUCAGUCUGCACAGGAGGAAUCAAGAGAACAGCCAGAGAAGGCUGAAUGAGAAAUGAGGGUAGGGAGAAAGAGCUCUUCUCUCCUAUCUCAACCAGAGCACACAUCAACCAACAUAAUAGUGGCCAUUUCCUGAGCAUCAAUAGUGUUCCAAGCAUGGCGCCAGACACCCAGAAACAUUAUCUCAUUUCAGCUACACAAUACCCUACAAGUAAAUAUUCCCAUUUCACAGAUGAGAAAUAAAGGUACAGACAAAAUAAAUUGCAAGCUUAAGGAAUGGAAGAGUCAGGAUUGAAACCCUGGCCUGCCUGGCACAGUGGUUCAUGCCUGUAAUCCCAGCAGUUUGGGAGGUCAAGGUGGGCGGGUCCCUUGAGCCUAGGAGUUCAAGACCAGCCUGAGCAUUUUUUGUAGGGACCCAGUCUACAAAAAAAUACAAAAAUUAGCUGUGUGUAGUCCCAGCUGCUUGGGAGGCUGAGGUGGGAGUAUUGCUUGAGCCCAGGAAGCAGAGGUUGCAGCGAGCCAAGAUCACAUCACUGCACUUCAGCCUGGGCAACGGAGAGACUCGGAAAAAAAAAAAGAAAGAAAGAAGGAAGGAAGGAAGAAAAGAAAAGAAAAAAGAAGAAACCUAGCCUGACAGACACAAAACUUCGGCCACCUCCCACUACCUUUCACACUACUAGGAAUCAAUGGGAAGAUUAAAGAUUGAACCCAGUUGUGAAGACUAAAAGCUUACCCUUUUUUCCACCUUUCAUAGAGGCUUAUCACCUUAAUAUCAAGCGUCGCUUUAUUCCAGAGCUUGCUUUUCUCACCACGACCACGAUCGUCCCUGUACUCAUUCCCUUCACUUAGGCAUCCCUAUUUGAGCUUAAUUAGGUUUGCGCUAAGUUCAUGAGUUUCUGUAAACUUAAUGGGCUCUAAAGAGAAAAUAGAGAUCUUUCUCACCAGGUGUUUAUCUCCUUCCCCAGUUGUCCCCAUUGCACUUUCAGAUUCAUUUUAAGUUCCAUCUGGUUAAUGGGUGCAGGUGAGAUUGAGCAAGGAACUGCAUACCCUCCCCACCAUGCCCCCAACUUUGCCCCCACCCACAGCACACCCAGAUGUUCCCUACUCCCCUGGCAAGAACACGGAAAUGAAAUGAGAGACUUUUAGAGACCAGCAUAGGCCCCAAAUGAGUCAAAUCUAUCUCAAAAUAUCUCACCCUAGAUGUCUUCCCAGAGGGCAGGAAGAACACAAUGUUUCUUGAGUAACUACUAUGUGCUAAGCACUGCACCUAUACUGCCAGUCAUUCCAUUAAGCAAGGUCAUAGUGCCUGGGCUCUGGAGUCAGUUCACCUAUCCAGGCUGCUCACGAAGGAUGCCUCUGAGCCUCAGUUUUCUCAUCUGAAGCUCAAGGUAAACAUAGUAUCCCCACCUCAAAAGUCAC